UUGGAGCACCAUUCCUUGUUUGAUAUCGCAUGCGUAACGAACUCCAUUCUCGCCUUGACGAUCAGAGGAGUUGCUGUGAGGCUUGUUACGCGCAGCUGUAUUUCGGAAAGUUGUAUUUUCAACGAUUUCAUUGAAGAUAUCAUGGCGAAUAAAUCAGGAAAAGCGAAGUCAAAGUCUAAAGUGAAAGUGAAAAAGUAAAAGUGAGAGAUUAUUUGUUUGAAUCAUAACACUCAGAUUCCUCAAACAGGAACUGAGUUUCUGCAAGGACAGGACGUACUUCUGGACGGAAUGGAAACCAUGCAGAGGUGCCUUGACUGGGAUAGGGGGAGGCUGAUAAAUGUUGCUUCAGCAGAUUAUCUCAGUUCAUUCAGGAGAUUCAUUCCUCUGGCUGGCAUGCACAACAAGCCAGUUCCGGUUACCGUGCUCCUCGGACUUGGAGAGGAGCACCUUGUUUAUGCCAUCACUCAAGAGCAACUGAGGUUUCUGAUGUCCUAUGCUUUCAGUGCGUCUCUGAUGGCAGAUAUUCUACAUGUGUCCCGAUCAAAACUCAAACAUCGUCUAAGACUUGGCUCUGGAUGAAAAGAUUAAGGACUUGGUGGCUGGGAACGACAAACUUGGACCGGAAGCUGUUCGAGCACAAUUAAGGGCAUUGGGAAUCCGGGUGCAGAGACGCAGAGUGAGGGACAGCAUGAUUUGUGUUAACCCGAGGGUGGCUGCCCUCAGAGCCAUGUCGCAGAGGCUACAUAGAAGGUCAUAAAGUGUUGCUGGACAAAACUCGUUAUGGCACCUUGAUGGAAACUUCAAACUGAUAAGGUGGAGGAUAGUUAUACAUGGUGGCAUUGAUGGGUACAGCUACCUUGUGUUUCUCCGUGCUUCCAGCAACAAUCGCAGCAGUACUGUAAUGCAUUGCUUCAUGAAUGCUGUCUCCAGAUAUGGCAUUCCCUCCAGAGUUAGGAUGGACCAUGGAGGAGAAAACAACACUGUCUGCUUGUUGAAUGUAAUACAUAUUCAAAAUAUUAUUUAAAAAAUAGAGCUACAUUCAUCCUUAAAAUGUCAUCUUGACCUAUACAUUGAUUACAUUCUAUAGUGAGUGAUGCAUGCGGCUAAAUUUCUUUUCUGUAAAUCAUUUUCAGAAUGCAAUCACAGUAUGUUUGACAGCUUUAUUGCUUUCUCCAUAUUUUUGAAAUGUAUAAGCCUUUAAAUAACCUUUUACUGACUAUUUCUACAAAUGAGGCUAUACUUGUGGCAGCACCUAUUCCUGUGACACUGCUUCUUAUGGCCCCCCUCCACCUAUACCACUUCCUGUGGCCUCCCCUCCACCAUUUCCUGAGGCUUAUCGUCCACCACACUCUGAUGUUGGUGAUGACAAUGAGUAAGUCAUAAUUAAAUGUCUUGUUAUUACAGAUGAAUUGUGGGAAGUAUCUGAGCUUUGUUAUUCUGAAUGUCUCUUUUAGUGUUGACCUCCAAACACUGAAGUUAAUGAGAUGCCAACCAAAUUAACAUGAUGAGGGACAAAGUUUAUGAUUGUGCAAUGAGAGGCUUUAAGAGAGCCCAUUUUAAUCCGGGGGUAAAAAUAGACAUGGUUUAGGGAUGCUGACGGAAAAGGGGCAUCUGAUGAGGGUGGUUCCUCAAGAGAAAAUCUCUGGCUGCUAAUGAGUGCCAUCCAUUUCUCUGCAAUAUUUGAGGGACCUGAUUGACACAAAAACCUUUCUUGCAACUCUCAAGGUGAGUUACACCAACAAAGACAUUUGUUUAUGGCAAUAUAUGACUUGAGUAAAACAUUUGAUUUGUAUGUGAUGUGUCCCUUAUUUACUGUUUGUCUUCUGUGUGACAGCAAAAUGGGGGUGUAGAGCCACAUUUUUUCAGAGGCUAUACAAGCAAGUGUGUGACCUACAACCUCCUGUGCCAGAACUGAAAGAAAUUGCAGAAUAUGACUUCAGAGAGAAGUUGGAGAAGGGGGGACACAUACCCUUUAACCAUGGAGAAGGUUUUCAUUUUCACUUCGGGGGCUUCAGCAUUCCUAGGCUGGGAUUGCCAGUAGAGCCACAGCUACAGUUCUCUGCAACCGCACGGCAAGCUGUACCGGAGGGCCAAGUCUAGGUCCAAGAGGCUUCUAAACAGAUUCUACCCCAAGCCCUAAGAUUACUGAACAUCUAAUCAAAUGGCUACCCAGACUAUUUGUUGAUACUCUAUCUAUGCAUAGUCACUUCAAUAUCUCUACUGUCGCGCCCUGACCAUAAAGAGACAUUGUUCUCUAUGGUGAAGUAGGUCAGGGUGUGACUGGGGGUGAUCUAGUUUAUUUAUUUCUGUGGUGUUCUAGUUUAUUUUCUAUGGUGGUGAUUUGUAUGAUUCCCAAUUAGAGGCAGCUGGUAAUCGUUGUCUCUAAUUGGGGAUCAUAUUUAAGUAGUUGUUUUUCCCACCUGUGUUUGUGGGAUAUUAUUUUGUGCAUUUGCACUACUUAGUCACGUUUCUUUAAAUCAAAUCAAAUUUUAUUUGUCACAUACACAUGGUUAGCAGAUGUUAAUGCGAGUGUAGCGAAAUGCUUGUGCUUCUAGUUCCGACAAUGCAGUAAUAACCAAGUAAUCUAACUUACAAUUCCUAAUCUACUGUCUUAUACACAGUGUAAGGGGAUAAAGAAUAUGUACAUAAGGAUAUAUGAAUGAGUGAUGGUACAGAGCAGCAUAGGCAAGAUACAGUAGAUAUCGAGUACAGUAUAUACAUAUGAGAUGAGUAUGUAAACAAAGUGGCAUAGUUAAAGUGGCUAGUGAUACAUGUAUUACAUAAGGAUGCAGUCAAUGAUAUAGAGUACAGUAUAUACGUAUGCAUAUGAGAUGAACAAUGUAGGGUAAGUAACAUUAUAUAAGGUAGCAUUGUUUAAAGUGGCUAGUGAUAUAUUUACAUAAUUUCCCAUCAAUUCCCAUUAUUAAAGUGGCUGGAGUUGAGUCAGUGUCAGUGUGUAGGCAGCAGCCACUCAAUGUUAGUGGUGGCUGUUUAACAGUCUGAUGGCCUUGAGAUAGAAGCUGUUUUUCAGUCUCUCGGUCCCAGCUUUGAUGCACCUGUACUGACCUCGCCUUCUGGAUGAUAGCGGGGUGAACAGGCAGUGGCUCGGGUGGUAGAUGUCCUUGAUGAUCUUUAUGGCCUUCCUGUAAC